GACAGAGGGUGCUAGCGUUGUUCGGAAUUACUGGGCGUAAAGCGCACGUAGGCGGCUUUGUAAGUAAGAGGUGAAAGCCUGGAGCUCAACUCCAGAAUUGCCUUUUAGACUGCAUCGCUUGAAUCAUGGAGAGGUGAGUGGAAUUCCCGGUGUAGUGGUGAAAUGCGUAGAUAUCGGGAGGAACACCAGUGGCGAAGGCGGCUACCUGGACCAGCACUGACACUGAGGCACGAAAGCGUGGGGAGCAAACAGG
rnacentral:rRNA from 1 species